UUUNGUUUGCCCCUUCCCAUCCGAUGCUCCUUGCGGGUUGUCGGAGGGCCGCACAGUAGUCCCCGUGUUCCAUGAGAGCGUCGCGUCGGCGUCGGCUCUCAAGGCCCAUGGGGAUCUAUUGGUCUCUCGGAUGCGGUUCACACGGCGGUCGUGUGACAUCCGUCACAUUCGUCCAUGCAAAAAAAUUCGGUUUACCUGAAUGAUGUCCGUGCUUGCAUCGAUUCGCCCCGCAUAGCUCGGCGAUGUCGUGCGAUGCCCGGCAUCACAGAGGGAUGCUACCUGGUUGAUCCUGCCAGUAGUCAUAUGCUUGUCUCA
rnacentral:misc_RNA from 1 species